rnacentral:lncRNA from 1 species
GUUAAACAAGUGCUUGAAGGCAGUAUGCUUGGUAAAAGUCAUCACCACUCUCUAAUCUCAAGUACCCAGGGACACGAUACACUGCGGAAGGCCGCAGGGAUCUCUCCCUAGGAAAGCCAGAACAAGCCCUGUGAAAAACAAGCUGCUGUCCCUGCUAGAGGCAUCCUGCAAUCCAUGGAUGUUUAUCACCAAGCCAUUGUUAACAUGAGGAUCCAGUAUCUGCUGGAGGAGCCCCACCUUCUGCUACUAUUAUGUUCUUCAGAUGAGUAGAAGAGAGUGGGGAGGCAGAGAGCAGGAAGAAGAAAGGAAGAAUAAUGUCUCGAAAUUGAUGAUGCAUAUCAUAAAUUAUUACUCACCCCAUGUUCCCACCCUCGAGAGACCUCCAAACAAUCACCAUGCCACAGUGAACAUUC